rnacentral:rRNA from 1 species
GACGAACGCUGGCGGCGUGCCUAACACAUGCAAGUCGAGCGAGAGGAGUUCUUCGGAACGAAUCUAGCGGCGGACGGGUGAGUAACACGUGGGCAACCUGCCUUAUAGAGGGGAAUAGCCUUCCGAAAGGAAGAUUAAUACCGCAUAACAUUGCAUUUUCGCAUGAAGAAGCAAUUAAAGGAGCAAUCCGCUAUAAGAUGGGCCCGCGGCGCAUUAGCUAGUUGGUGAGGUAACGGCUCACCAAGGCGACGAUGCGUAGCCGACCUGAGAGGGAGAUCGGCCACAUUGGGACUGAGACACGGCCCAGACUCCUACGGGAGGCAGCAGUGGGGAAUAUUGCACAAUGGGGGAAACCCUGAUGCAGCAACGCCGCGUGAGUGAUGAAGGUUUUCGGAUCGUAAAACUCUGUCUUUGGGGACGAUAAUGACGGUACCCAAGGAGGAAGCCACGGCUAACUACGUGCCAGCCGCCGCGGUAAAAC